rnacentral:rRNA from 1 species
AGGACGAACGCUGGCGGCGUGCUUAACACAUGCAAGUGGAGCGACGAACCAGGGCUUGCCCUGGGGCAGAGCCGCGAACGGGUGAGUAACACGUGGGUUACCUGCCUCGAUGACCGGGACAACCCGAGGAAACUCGGGCUAAUACCGGAUGUGCCCGCAAGGGGAAAGGAAGCUUCGGCCUCCGCAUCGAGAUGGGCCCGCGGCCCAUUAGCUUGUUGGUGAGGUAACGGCUCACCAAGGCUUCGAUGGGUAGCUGGUCUGAGAGGACGAUCAGCCACACUGGGACUGAGACACGGCCCAGACUCCUACGGGAGGCAGCAGUGGGGAAUCUUGCGCAAUGCGCGAAAGCGUGACGCAGCAACGCCGCGUGGGGGAAGAAGGCUUUCGGGUUGUAAACCCCUUUCAGUUGGGACGAAGCUUCUCCGGUGAAUAGCCGGACGGAGUGACGGUACCUUCACAAGAGCACCGGCUAACUACGUGCCAGCAGCCGCGGU